AAUCCCUCAAAAAAAGCUCUCUCUCGCGCGCGAACCUCGCCCCACCCCUCGGUCGAUCUCCUCUCCCCCACUAUCUCCUCGCCGCCGCCACCACCCACGCCGGCCGGUUCCGGCGAGCUCCGGCCGCGCGCCACACGCCCCCAAGAUCGAAAAGCUCCGCCCCUCCGUCCAGAUCCGUGCCUAAGGCCUGCAGGGCACCUCCCGUAUUCUUGCAGGAAUCCACCACAAUCGGCGAUGGCGGGGCCGGAGCUUGCAGGAUCCGUCACCAGCGGAGGCAGGGAGCCCUCGGGCGCCGCAUCCUCCACCCCGGCGUCUGGCGGCAGGAGGAUCCUGCGCACGCAGACCGCGGGCAACCUGGGCGAGUCCAUCGUCGCCAACGAGGUCGAGGCCAGCAACCCGCACGUCGCGUACCUAUGAUUUGCUCAGCAGCCUGAAAAUGCUGGCCGUGAAGCAGGCGGAGACCGUCGGACGUCCCCACCUCGCCGACCCGUUCGAUUUGCGCACGCUGCGUGCUAUCGGUAUUGCUUGCUGCAUCCUCUGUUUCCUCCAUCGAUGGUCACUGGCAUGGAGUAGACAGUAGAAUGCUUAAAGUUAGUCGAUUGCUGACCUGCUGCUGGUUACUUGCUCGAUGCAAUGUGCUCAUCUUUUUGUUGUUUGGUAGUAAAUCAAUUGUCGGUACUCUGAACUUGUGUGCGUCGAAUUUGGAGCAAACUUUUGAAUUCAUAGUGUAGGCCUUCUGAAUUCGACU